UCCGGUUUGUCACCGGCAGUCUCGCAUGAGUCCCCAACUAAAUGCUGGCAACAUGCGACGGGGGUUGCGCUCGUUGCGGGACUUAACCCAACAUCUCACGACACGAGCUGACGACAACCAUGCAGCACCUGUGUUCCCGCCAGCCGAACUGAAGGGCCCCAUUUCUGGAGCCCAUACGGGACAUGUCAAGGACUGGUAAGGUUCUGCGCGUUGCUUCGAAUUGAACCACAUGCUCCACCGCUUGUGCGGGCCCCCGUCAAUUCCUUUGAGUUUUAGCCUUGCGGCCGUACUCCCCAGGCGGGGCACUUAAUGCGUAAGCUACGGCGCGGAAAACGUGGAAUGUCCCCCACACCUAGUGCCCAACGUUUACGGCAUGGACUAC
rnacentral:misc_RNA from 1 species